GGGGACGAUGACCGAGGACGAAGCCUUAGUCCGAGCUCUCCAGGCUUCCCUAGACGACAAGGAGUGAAGCAGACAAAAAAAAAACUCCCUCCUUGUUUCCUGAAAACCUGUGGACAUGAAGAUACGAUAUUAUAGUUCUUGAAGCUAGCGUCAGAAUGUGUGCAGAUUUGUGAUUCGUGACUCACUAGUCUGUAAAUAGUGUGAAAAUAAGCAGAUUCAUCGAGUUCGCAUUCGUUGUUUAUUACUCGAUUCAUGUAGUGGUUUUCUAACGAAAUUAAAAGAUGCAAAUCAUCACAAUCACGAA